AUUGGAGCCUUUUAAAAAAUAAAAACGCUCGGCGGCGUGCUUAACACAUGCAAGUCCUUGCUGCGCAGGUGCCGUAGCAAUACGGUACUGGCGCACGGCGCACGGGUGCGUAACACGUGGGUAUCUGCCCUCUGAUGGGGAAAACCCGCCGAAAGGCGGGCUAAAUCCGCAUAACAUUCCUUGGACUCCGGUUCGAGGAUUCAAAGGCGUAAGUCGUCGGAGGUGGAGCCCCCCCACGAUUAGCUACUCGGUGAGGUAAUGGCUCCCCAAGGCUAUAAUCGUUAGCUGGUCUGAACGAUGGCCAGCCACACUGCAACUGAUGAGACACGGUCCUGACUCCUACGGGAGGCAGCAGUGGGGAAUCUUGCACAAUGGGCGAAAGCCUGAUGCAGGGACGCCGCGUGGGGGAUGAAGCUUCUCGGAGUGUAAACCCAUUUCGACCGGGACGAAUACCUCGCAAGAGGGGUGACGGUACCGGUAUAAGGAGCCCCGGCUAACUACGUGCCAGCAGCCGCGGUAAGACGUAGGGGGCCAGCGUUGCUCGGAAUUACUCGGUGUAAAGGGUUGGUAGGCCGUGUGGCAAGUCGGGAGUGAAAUGUCUGGGCUUAACUCAGGG
rnacentral:rRNA from 2 species